CUUUAUUAUAAUCAUGUUUUACCUAAACAACUUUGCUUUCACCACGGUUUUCUGUUUCAAAUUCUUAACAAUAGAUCACAUCUUACAACUGACUAUAGAAUUCUAAAAUACAUGUACAUGUGCCAAAGAAUGGCUAGUCAAUAAAAAGGAAUAAAGCAAAGUGAAAUCAGGAAGGUAUUCAACCUACAUAGAUAACCUGUAAACUGCAAAUAACAAGGAUGGGGAUGAAAGACAGAACUGAGAAGGGUAAAAGACCACUUGCAUCCCAGAAGCCUCCCAGCUUGCCACACAGCAGCUCUAAAAUCACGGGUGGAACGUUUUAGCACUGGCUCUGAAAUUCGACUGAGUCUACUUCCUGAUAUGAUUCUCUGGCAUAAUUCUGCAUCCUGUUGCUACAGCUGACCAUACCUCAUUGUUUUAAGUUCUUAGAAAGCUUCUGUGCAAGGCAGUAUGUACAUUCAUGUCUGUAUGUAAUCUGAUAGCCAUCCGACAAGGAAGACAAGCCUUCGUUAUAGCAGUGUUAGAAGAAGCCUCUCUCUGAAAAUGUCAAUUCCCUUUCCCAGUGCCCUUCUAUU
rnacentral:lncRNA from 1 species